rnacentral:miRNA from 1 species
GGGUGACCAAAGUCCUGGCUUGCCUGGGACUGAGGGGUUCCCCAGAAUGUGGGAUUUCU